CCUACGGGAGGCAGCAGUGGGGAAUUUUGGACAAUGGGCGCCAGCCUGAUCCAGCAAUGCCGCGUGAGUGAAGAAGGCCUUCGGGUUGUAAAGCUCUUUUGUCAGGGAAGAAACGGCUGAGGUUAAUACCUUCGGCUAAUGACGGUACCUGAAGAAUAAGCACCGGCUAACUACGUGCCAGCAGCCGCGGUAAUACGUAGGGUGCAAGCGUUAAUCGGAAUUACUGGGCGUAAAGCGUGCGCAGGCGGUUUUGUAAGUCUGACGUGAAAUCCCCGGGCUCAACCUGGGAAUUGCGUUGGAGACUGCAAGGCUGGAGUCUGGCAGAGGGGGGUAGAAUUCCACGUGUAGCAGUGAAAUGCGUAGAGAUGUGGAGGAACACCGAUGGCGAAGGCAGCCCCCUGGGUCAAGACUGACGCUCAUGCACGAAAGCGUGGGGAGCAAACAGGAUUAGAUACCCUGGUAGUCCACGCCCUAAACGAUGUCUACUAGUUGUCGGGUCUUAAUUGACUUGGUAACGCAGCUAACGCGUGAAGUAGACCGCCUGGGGAGUCGGUCGCAAGNUUAAAACUUAAUGAAAUUGACGGCUGGNGAGNGCGAGACGACGACGAGGGAGGAGG
rnacentral:rRNA from 1 species